UACAGAGGUCUCAAGCGUUGUUCGGAUUCAUUGGGCGUAAAGGGUGCGUAGGUGGCGCGGUAAGUCGGGUGUGAAAUUUCGGAGCUUAACUCCGAAACUGCAUUCGAUACUGCCGUGCUUGAGGACUGGAGAGGAGACUGGAAUUUACGGUGUAGCAGUGAAAUGCGUAGAGAUCCGGAGGAACACCAGUGGCGAAGGCGACACGCUGGGCCAUACCUGACGCUAAAGCGCGACAGCAUGGGGAGCAAACGGG
rnacentral:rRNA from 1 species